UCCUACGGGGGGCAGCAGUGGGGAAUAUUGGACAAUGGGCGCAAGCCUGAUCCAGCCAUGCCGCGUGAGUGAUGAAGGCCUUAGGGUUGUAAAGCUCUUUUAGCGGAGACGAUAAUGACGGUAUCCGCAGAAAAAGCCCCGGCCAACUUCGUGCCAGCAGCCGCGGUAAUACGAAGGGGGCUAGCGUUGCUCGGAAUCACUGGGCGUAAAGCGCACGUAGGUGGGUCGUUAAGUCGGGGGUGAAAUCCCGGAGCUCAACUCCGGAACUGCCUUCGAUACUGGCGACCUUCGAGUCCGGGAGAGGUGAGUGGAACUGCGAGUGUAGAGGUGAAAUUCGUAGAUAUUCGCAAGAACACCAGUGGCGAAGGCGGCUCACUGGCCCGGUACUGACACUGAGGUGCGAAAGCGUGGGAGCAAACAGGAUUAGAUACCCUGGUAGUCC
rnacentral:rRNA from 2 species